rnacentral:lncRNA from 1 species
GUAAGUAUUUUUUUUGAGGUCCGGAAAUGCAAAACGGGGGGGGGGGUUUCGCCUCUGUAACCUGGGCCUGGCCGCAGAUCUGGUGGCUGAUGUCGCCCUGGCCCGGGCCGCGAGCGGACGCAGGGGGCGGCAGGGGACCCGGGACCGUGGGUCUCGGGCGCCCACUGAGCCGAUUCCGGCGUGGGGUCGAGAGCGAGCGAGCGAGCGAGCGAGCGAAUAAAGUCCUGAGCCCACAGAGCGCCACAUUCACCCGGCACAGCACUGCACCCGGGAGGACGCUAGAGGGGUGACCGCGGGCCAGAAGAUGCUGCCUGGGGAGAAAGGAGUGCUGAGCGCCCAGCCGCCCUUCACGCAUGUCCUCCUGGCCCCACCGCAGCCCAGCAGUGACUGUCAUUCAGCACCUGCAUCCCAAUUUCUGGGUGCGAAAGCCCAGGUUUGGGAAGGUGGAAGCAUUUUGGGGAGGACAUAGAUUCAGUAAGUGUCCAACUUCUGGAUCCUCCCCUCUCACCCCCACACCGUGUCUCCUAAAAAGUUUACAUCCUGAACACCUGGGACGUUUGCUUUCUGAGCCCCUAAUGAAGGACUUAUCAUGCCCCCCUUUUUGUUUGGGGUGCCAGGAAGCUCAAAGUAAACUUACCCAGGAUCUGUCUUCAUCCCUCAAGUUCCUGACAGGAUUGCCUCUGCCUACCCCCCUCUGGUUUCUGAUCUCAUGCUCUAUUUUUAGCUGUUGUUGAGUGUGUUGUGGAGGAAGCUGCCUCAAGUUCCCUUUGAACUGUAAAUAAAC